AGCAGCCGCGGUAAUUCCAGCUCCAAUAGCGUAUAUUAAAGUUGUUGCAGUUAAAAAGCUCGUAGUUGAAUUUCGGGAUCAAUUUGUUGGUCGUGCCUCGGUACGUACUGGCAUUAUUGGUUUCUACCUUCUGAAGAACCUUGAUGUCAUUAGUUUGGUGUCUUGGGGAAUCAGGACUGUUACUUUGAAAAAUUAGAGUGUUUAAAGCAGGCAUACGCUUGAAUACAUUAGCAUGGAAUAAUGAAAUAGGACAUUUGAUUCUAUUUUGUUGGUUUCUAGGAUCGACGUAAUGAUUAAUAGGGAUAGUUGGGGGCAUUAGUAUUCAAUUGUCAGAGGUGAAGUUCUUGGAUUUAUUGAAGACUAACUACUGCGAAAGCAUUUGCCAAGGAUGUUUUCAUUAAUCAAGAACGAAAGUUAGGGGAUCGAAGACGAUCAGAUACCGUCGUAGUCUUAACCAUAAACUAUGCCGACUAGGGAUCGGAUGAUGUUAUUUUUAAUGACUCAUUCGG
rnacentral:rRNA from 1 species